GGGCCUCUAGCUCAAUUGGCAGAGCAGCGGACUUUUAAUCCGCGGGUUGUGGGUUCGAGUCCCACGGGGCCUA
rnacentral:tRNA from 10 species